GACGAACGCUGGCGGCGUGCUUAACACAUGCAAGUCGAACGGUAAGGCCCUUCGGGGUACACGAGUGGCGAACGGGUGAGUAACACGUGGGUGAUCUGCCCUGCACUUCGGGAUAAGCCUGGGAAACUGGGUCUAAUACCGGAUAGGACCACUGCCUGCAUGGGUGGUGGUGGAGAGCUUUUGCGGUGUGGGAUGGGCCCGCGGCCUAUCAGCUUGUUGGUGGGGUGAUGGCCUACCAAGGCGACGACGGGUAGCCGGCCUGAGAGGGUGACCGGCCACACUGGGACUGAGAUACUCCCCAGACUCCUACGGGAGGCAGCAGUGGGGAAUAUUGCACAAUGGGCGCAAGCCUGAUGUAGCGACGCCGCGUGAGGGAUGACGGCCUUCGGGUUGUAAACCUCUUUCAGCACCGACGAAGCGCAAGUGACGGUAGGUGCAGAAGAAGGACCGGCCAACUACGUGCCAGCCGCCGCCGUAA
rnacentral:rRNA from 1 species